CUCCAGAUGUUGCUGAACUACAACUCCAAUCAACCCCAGCAAGCAUGGUCAGUGACCAGGGAUGAUAGGAGUUGUAGUUCAGCAAUAUCUGGAG